UGCCUGAUUAAAUCAAAAUCCUAACUCAAUCGACAAAUGUGAAUAAAAUUACAAAAAAUUGCAAAAUUGAUGAAAAAGCCCUUAAAUUGACUCAAAACAGAAAAAUGCUAAAACGUACCACUAAACAAUGGAAUUUGACCCCAAAACCAUGACCUUGUCAUACAAAAAAUUUGUACAGAAUUGAAAACUAGGAUUGAGCUUGCUCAUGAAAAUCUGACAGCCAAACUAAAAGUUAUUCACAUUUUCGUAUAUCUAUUCUAUUUUUCCUCUUUUCCAUCUGAUUUGUGAUUUCUCUUCUAACUGUUUCACAUCAAAAAGCAUUCUUGAAUCGGAGUGGAUUCACGAGCUUGAUUUUGGGUAAUAUAUGAGAUUUAAUUAUUUCCAUAAGCUUUAUGUUUUGGAUAAAAUGAUAAAAAUACCUUACAUCAGUUGGUAUUAGAGCUGGAAUUCCAUUCUCAAGUUGAUACUGGAGCAAUAGCUUGCUUGAAGAAGGAUGGGACCAAGGGAGUGAGCUUCGGCCAAACUCUUAACUUUUAUUCUUAGUGAUAUAAGUGGAUAUCAUUAG
rnacentral:lncRNA from 1 species